rnacentral:rRNA from 1 species
UACGGAGGGUGCGAGCGUUGUCCGGAAUCACUGGGCGUAAAGGGCGCGUAGGCGGCCCUCUAAGUCCCGUGUGAAAGCCCCCGGCUCAACCGGGGAACUGCACGGGAAACUGGAAGGCUUGGGUUCGGGAGAGGGAAGCGGAAUUCCGGGUGUAGCGGUGAAAUGCGUAGAUAUCCGGAGGAACACCGGUGGCGAAGGCGGCUUCCUGGACCGACACUGACGCUGAUGCGCGAAAGCUAGGGGAGCAAACGGG